rnacentral:rRNA from 1 species
AACGAACGCUGGCGGCAUGCCUAACAUAUGCAAGUCGAACGAGACCUUCGGGUCUAGUGGCGCACGGGUGUGUAACGCGUGGGAACCUGCCCUUAGGUUCGGAAUAACUCCCCGAAAGGGGUGCUAAUACCGGAUAAUGUCUUCGGACCAAAGAUUUAUCGCCUUUGGUUGGGCCCGCGUUGGAUUAGCUAGUUGGUAGGGUAAAAGCCUACCAAGGCGACGAUCCAUAGCUGGUCUGAGAGGAUGAUCAGCCACACUGGGACUGAGACACGGCCCAGACUCCUACGGGAGGCAGCAGUGGGGAAUAUUGGACAAUGGGCGAAAGCCUGAUCCAGCAAUGCCGCGUGAGUGAUGAAGGCCUUAGGGUUGUAAAGCUCUUUUACCCGGGAUGAUAAUGACAGUACCGGGAGAAUAAGCUCCGGCUAACUCCGUG